rnacentral:rRNA from 1 species
GUGGGGAAUAUUGGACAAUGGGCGAAAGCCUGAUCCAGCAAUGCCGCGUGAGUGAUGAAGGCCUUAGGGUUGUAAAGCUCUUUUACCCGGGAUGAUAAUGACAGUACCGGGAGAAUAAGCUCCGGCUAACUCCGUGCCAGCAGCCGCGGUAAUACGGAGGGAGCUAGCGUUGUUCGGAAUUACUGGGCGUAAAGCGCACGUAGGCGGCUUUGUAAGUUAGAGGUGAAAGCCUGGAGCUUAACUCCAGAACUGCCUUUAAGACUGCAUCGCUUGAAUCCAGGAGAGGUGAGUGGAAUUCCGAGUGUAGAGGUGAAAUUCGUAGAUAUUCGGAAGAACACCAGUGGCGAAGGCGGCACACUGGACUGGUAUUGACGCUGAGGUGCGAAAGCGUGGGGAGCAAACAGGAUUAGAAACCCGUGUAGUCC